AAUGAACGUUGGCGGCGUGGAUUAGGCAUGCAAGUCGAACGGGCCAGCAAUGGUCAGUGGCGAAAGGGAGAGGAACACGUAGAUACCCACCCUCAGGACCAGGAUAGCCGCGGGAAACUGCGGGUAAUACUGAAUAAUAUCUCCGGAUCAAAGGUGUGAUUCCGCCGGAGGACGGGUCUGCGUCCUAUCAGCUAGUUGGUGAGGUAAUGGCUCACCAAGGCUAUAACGGGUACUGGGUGUGAGAGCACGACCCAGCUCACUGGGACUGAGAUACUGCCCAGACACCUACGGGUGGCUGCAGUCGAGGAUCUUCGGCAAUGGGCGCAAGCCUGACCGAGCGACGCCGCGUGUGGGAUGAAGGCCUUCGGGUUGUAAACCACUGUCGGGGGGGAUGAAAUACUUAAGGGUUCUCCCUUAGGCUUGACAUAUCCUCGGAGGAAGGACGGGCUAAGUUCGUGCCAGCAGCCGCGGUAAUAC
rnacentral:rRNA from 1 species